CGCAAGCCUGACGGAGCAACGCCGCGUGAUGGAUGAAGGCCCCUGGGCUGUAAACCUCUUUUAUCAAGGAAGAAGAUCUGACGGUACUUGAUGAAUAAGCCACGGGUAAUUCGGUA
rnacentral:rRNA from 1 species